rnacentral:rRNA from 1 species
GACGGAGGGACCUACGUUGUUCGGAAUUAUUGGCGUAAAGCGGGUGUAGGUGGCUUUGUAAGUCAGGUGUGAAAGCCCCAGGGCUCAACCCUGGAAGUGCAUUUGAUACUGCGAAGCUUGAGUUGCUAGAGAGGUAAGUAGAAUUCCUGGUGUAGUGGUGAAAUACGUAGAUAUCAGGAGGAAUACCAGAGGCGAAGGCGCUUACUGGCUAGACACUGACACUCAGACCCGAAAAGCCGUGGGGAUCAAACAGG